ACGGAGGGUGCAAGCGUUAAUCGGAAUUACUGGGCGUAAAGCGCGCGUAGGCGGUCAAGUCAGUCAACUGUGAAAGCCCAGGGCUCAACCUUGGAACUGCAGCUGAUACUGCUUGACUAGAGUUUGGUAGAGGAGUGUGGAAUUUCCUGUGUAGCGGUGAAAUGCGUAGAUAUAGGAAGGAACACCAGUGGCGAAGGCGACACUCUGGACCAAAACUGACGCUGAGGUGCGAAAGCGUGGGGAGCAAACAGG
rnacentral:rRNA from 1 species